UCCCUGGUAGCUCAGAUGGUAAAGAAUCUGCCUGCAAUGCAGGAAACCCAGGUUCGGUACUUGGUUUGGGAA
rnacentral:tRNA from 1 species